GACGAACGCUGGCGGCGUGCUUAACACAUGCAAGUCGAACGGAAAGGCCUGCUUUCCCUUGUGGAUUGCGGGUACUCGAGUGGCCAACGGGUGAGUAACACGUGAGUGAUCUGCCCCCAACUUGGGUAUAAGCCUGGGAAACUGGGUCUAAUUCCCGAUAGGACUGCAGGGUGGUGCCUGUGGUGGAACACGAUUUUCUAGUGGUUGGGGAUGAGCUCGCGGCCUAUCAGCUUGUUGGUGGGGUAAUGGCCUACCAAGGCGGCGACGGGUAGCCGGCCUGGGAGGGGGGACGGCCACAUUGGGACUGAGAUACGGCCCAGACUGCUACGGGAGGCAGCAGUGGGGAAUAUUGGACAAUGGGCGGAAGCCUGAUGCAGCGACGGCGCGUGGGGGAUGACGGCCUUCGGGUUGUAAACUCCUUUCGACCGCGAGGAAGCCACCUGGUUGGAAGGGUGGUGACGGUAGUGGUAGAAGAAGCACCGGCUAACUACGUG
rnacentral:rRNA from 1 species